UGCCACCAUCAGAACAACAAAGCAUAGACAUGAAAUAGAUUAACGUCAUCAGAAUGACCAAAAUUUAAGCUCGCAUCCCAUCUCAGCAAUAGACGAUCAAAUAUCCAGGAAACAUAACAUAAUACUCCAAGAUUUCAGUUUUCAAAGACAAACGGGACACAUAUAAAUGAGUUCGAUUUUAGCAGAGCAAACGCAAGCCACCUCUAAGCCUUCUGGUUGUAGACGUAGGUGAGGCCGCACUUGCCGCAGUAGUGGCGGUCGAAGUGGUUGGCCAUGAAGGUCCCGGCGCCGCACUCGGCGUUGGGGCACUCCUUCCUGAGCCUGGUGACCUUGCCGGUGGCGUCGUCGACCUUGUAGAACUGGAGGACGGCGAGCUUCACCUUCUUGUGCUUGUGCUUUUGCUUCUUGGGCUUGGUGUAGGUCUUCUUCUUGCGCUUCUUGGCGCCACCGCGGAGGCGGAGCACCAGGUGGAGCGUGGACUCCUUCUGGAUGUUGUAGUCGGCGAGGGUGCGGCCGUCCUCGAGCUGCUUGCCGGCGAAGAUGAGGCGCUGCUGGUCCGGCGGGAUCCCCUCCUUGUCCUGGAUCUUGGCCUUGACGUUGUCGAUGGUGUCCGACGACUCCACCUCCAGCGUGAUGGUCUUGCCCGUCAGGGUCUUCACGAAGAUCUGCAUCUUGGCGGCGGCGGGGUGGUCGCCUCCGCGCGCUGCGGCGGCGACGGUGGCGGCGGCGGCGGCGCGGUGGGGUUUGGUUGGGCGGCGCGGUGGGAAUGGAGGCUAGGGAGAAGGAAGAGUCAGGCUUUCUAUAAGUACAGUCGGCAGGAGAAUAUGAGCCGUUGGAUCUAGGGGUUCAAGAUCAUACGGCUGUCUUUUGUGGACGGUAUUUUGGGCUGGGCUGGAUCGGAUUGAUUUGCUUGUGGCCCAUGCCACGUGAGGAGGGUUCGUUCCACAGUCAAUAUGAACAUGUAAAUUUUCUUUGUCUCAAUUUUUUUUGUAAAUUCCAUUCUUUGAGAAACAAAAUACCGUCCACAAGCAAAAUCAAUCCAUUCUUUGUCUCAAAAAAAUUGAAAAUUCCUUAAAAGAAUAUAUAUCCCAUUCACUUGCCCAAAAAAGUGUAAAUUCCAUUUACCCCUAGAAAUUAUUUUUUUUAAAUAUAUAAACACAAAAGAAUUUACAGAUUCGACAUUGGUUACUUGCAAGCCUCGAACUUGCAUUUGAGAUGUACACGCUCUUGAAUUCCUAUGAAAACCAAGCAAGGACGCUCCAAAUUAGAGAAGGGACUGCGGAAUGUAUUCGGCUUCGAUUCCAUACCACAACCAUCCAUCCAAAUAACGACAUUCAGGCUGUCCCAAUGCCAAUAUCCAAUUGUAAACCCCAAUAUCAGCACUCAAACGGUGCCCAGAGUGAUAUUUAGUUUUCAUCCAAUUUUAGUGGUGUUUGCACCAUGAAAUUUGAUUCCACCGUGUGGCAACCAUCACUCAUGGUUUGUUACUUAGCAACAACAUUCUGGGCAAAUAUGGGUUUAGAGCCACACCAAGAGGGUAUAGUUGUUCAAGAGUGUAAACUCGUAACAUAACCAUGUCUGUCUUGAGACAAUCAAUUCUAAAUAUGCAGUCCUGAGACAAUCAAUUCUAAAUAUGCAGUCCUGAGACAAUCAAUUCCAAAUAUGCAUGAAGGAUGAUGUACCCAGUGAUGCCAUGCUUUCGCAUAAUGUACCAGGGCAACAUAGUGUACGACUGAGUGGAAAUACCCAACACAAUAAACAAGUAAAGAUUCCAGCACAACUAACAGCAGUCAAAGAGUUAUCUCACAACAAUGGCAGCAGCAAUCAGCAAAUUCCAGCUGCAUGAUCACUGGCAAGGCAUGGCGAAUACAAACCACAACAAUAACUCGAAAACGGUCACCAAAUUCAAAUAGCAUUGAACCAUUCCAGAAACCGACUUAACACUAAGCAAGUUUCUAAACUUGUCCGCUUACUACCACACUUGCAAUUAUAGAUAUUCAGCAUAUGCAAACUAAUGCCACAUCCAGAAAAAUAUUCAGGACAAACAACACAUCAGAUCUAAGGUUGCAAACACAUGCACAGAUAUGGUAUGACCACACAAUUUCCUAAAUCAAAGCAGAAUUACCAAUGACAUGCACCCAGGGCAGGCAACGAUUAAUGAUGGAACACAAAAUAGAUGGAUAAACCACGGGGCAGGACUUUGCUACAUUUCUUCAGAGAUGAAUUUGGGUAAUGCGGAUGCGAAAAAUAAAAAUGCAGAUCAUGGCUACAGAAAUGUACAUAUUUGGAUAACCACAUCAAAUGGGUAUUUGUCCAGGCAUAAAGAAUAAACUGAAACGUCUGUCAAUGAGAAUUCCAAUAGCUGAACUGCCUUGUUGCAACAGCCAUGAAAAAUAAACAACCAAAUUGCUUUUGCACUUUUUGAUUAUUCUCGUAAGAUUGGUGACAAGAUGUGCUUUCGGUCCAAUGCAUCAAAAGCCACCUUCUGUACUAGUUAUAA
rnacentral:lncRNA from 1 species